rnacentral:tRNA from 1 species
GGCGCAGUUGCUCUGCUGGUAUGGGCGGCCUGACUUUCAUUCAGGAGCCUCGUCGGUUCGAUUCCGAUCUGCGUCG